UACGAAGGGGGGCUAGCGUUGUUCGGAAUUACUGGGCGUAAAGCGUGCGCAGGCGGCUUCUCAAGUCAGGGGUGAAAGCCCAGAGCUCAACUCUGGAAUUGCCUUUGAGACUGAGAGGCUUGAGUACGGGAGAGGUGAGUGGAAUUCCCAGUGUAGAGGUGAAAUUCGUAAGAUAUUGGGGAAGAACACCAGUGGCGAAGGCGGCUCACUGGACCGUAACUGACGCUCAUGCACGACAGCGUGGGGAUCAAACAGG
rnacentral:rRNA from 1 species